rnacentral:rRNA from 1 species
AUUGAACGCUGGCGGCAUGCCUUACACAUGCAAGUCGAACGGCAGCACGGGUGCUUGCACCUGGUGGCGAGUGGCGAACGGGUGAGUAAUACAUCGGAACGUACCUUAUCGUGGGGGAUAACGCAGCGAAAGCUGUGCUAAUACCGCAUACGCCCUGAGGGGGAAAGCGGGGGAUCGCAAGACCUCGCGCGAUUAGAGCGGCCGAUGCCUGAUUAGCUUGUUGGUGGGGUAAAAGCCCACCAAGGCGACGAUCAGUAGCUGGUCUGGGAGGACGAUCAGCCACACUGGGACUGAGACAAGGCCCAGAGUCCUAAGGGAGGCAGCAGUGGGGAAUUUUGGGCAAUGGGGGCAACCCUGAUCCAGCAAUGCCGCGUGAGUGAAGAAGGCCUUCGGGUUGUAAAGCUCUUUUGUCAGGGAAGAAACACCGGCUCUAACACAGUCCGGGAAUGACGGUACCUGAAGAACAAGCACCGGCUAACUACGUGCCAGCCGCCGCGGUAA